ensembl:lncRNA
GCCAAGGGGUGUUGGGGGCUUCCAGGGCUGACCGAGUGCUGCUGAUGGGGGGCCACCCCAUGACGGCGGCCACCCCAUGUCACGUUAUUUUGACGGAAAAAUGAACCCGGACAACGGACGGCACGGCAACAUUCCCCCUUCCCCCCUCCCCGACCCCAGUGUGCCCUCGAGCUCUUCUUCCCCCCUCCGUCUGCAUCUCUCUGGCGUUGCCGGGCGACCGCCGUCGCAGCGGGACCUAAUUGAUCAACCCCGAAUAACAAUGGGGUCUGUCUGUUGAGCGGGUGAAUGUGUGUGUGUGGUGCGUGAGCGCGGCGCGUGCUGUUGUUUAUUGACAGGCGGGGGGGGGGAUUGGGUAUAUCUGAGUAUUUAUGAGCCUGGUUCCUCCGAUGAGAACCGGGUCGGACUGUUAUUAUGGAAACGCGUCGCCGUGGAGACCGCUGGGCGCUCGACGGACCCGCCUGGAAUCACGGUGGCCAUGUGACCUUCUACAUAUGAACCCCCCCCCCCCCCCGGUCUGUAGAUAUGAAAGGACCACGUGCCACGUGGGGGCAGGGGGGGCAGUUAAGCGUUAGCAUAGCGGCGAGCUAGCCCGCCGGUCACUCUUGGAGACUCUUCACUCCCCCAUCGUCUCUGUCACUCUCGAACCCUCGUAACACAUUUCUCUUUUAUAUCCAAAUGGUUUCUGCUGCGUUACUAAAGACCUGUUCAGUUCUCCCCCCCACCCCCCACCCCCACCACGCUCCUCGUAAUGAAGCACUACAGCCCUGCGAGCUAGCGUCACGUUGAAGGAAGAAGCGGCAGGUGUGAAGGGCACCGGAACGCAGAGGGAGGGAGGGGGGGGGGGUCUUGUUUGUUUUUGUGAUGCCUAUUUUUCUGUCACCCCCCCCACCCCAACCCCCUCCAAAAAAGAUGUCCGCUCUUGUUAAUCAUGUGGAGUAAUGCAAAUAUAUGGUGUAAAGUAGCCGGCAUUAGUUGCUGUGUGCCAUUUUUGUUUCUCUAUUUUUGUUUUACCUCACCAUCGACCAUCGUCACCCGAACCGUUUCAACCCAUCGGUCCUCCUUUAUUUGGCGGUCCACAUAAAGGUCCAUUUGAAAGUUAGAAAAAAGAUUGUAUUUUUAUGAAUCUAUUUAAAAAUCAAAAGAAUCGAGGCAAUUGUCGCCUCCAACCACAGUGGAAAAACCCACGCAAUUUUAUACACAUAGAUUUGGUUGUGCUUGAGUAGAGGCCAUUUUGAAUGGGUUUUGUUCCGUCUCCCUCACCCCCGUGCCCGCUUCUGUAUGUGUAUAACAGUCGGUUCUUAUGUAAAAAUAAAAAAUAAUGUACAAAAAAAACUGCUAGAGGAGAACUGUGGAAAUAAAAGUAUGUGAAAAUAGUGUUCAUAUUCUCUUUUUCUGUGUAUUGCCCUUUAGUAUUCACAAAUGUUGGACAUACGGUCAAUUAUUAAUGUGUCAGGGAGACAUUAGUGAAGUUCAAGCUAAUUUAG